ACGUAGGUGGCAAGCGUUAUCCGGAAUUAUUGGGCGUAAAGCGCACGCAGGUGGCUUUUUAAGGCUGACGUGAAAGCUCCUGGCUUAACCGGGAGAGGUCGUUGGCGACUGGGAGGCUUGAGGCAAGGAGAGGGGCGUAGAAUUCCCGGUGUAGUGGUGGAAUGCGUAGAUAUCGGGGGGAAUACCAGAGGCGCAAGCGGCGCCCUGGCCUUGGCCUGACGCUCAGGUGCGAAAGCGUGGGGAGCGAACGGGAUUAGAUACCCCGGUAGUCCACGCCAUAAACGAUGAAUACUAGGUGUUGGGCGUGUUAAAACGCUCGGUACCGCAGCUAACGCGUUAAGUAUUCCGCCUGGGGAGUACGACCGCAAGGUUA
rnacentral:rRNA from 1 species